CUACCGCGGCUGAGAAGCGACGGGACAGGGCGGCAGAAGUCAGCAGAUGCCGUAGUAGCCGGGACCAUCUGGUGAAGGGU
rnacentral:ncRNA from 1 species